GACGAAUGCUGGCUGCGUGCUUAACACAUGCAAGUCGAACGGUGAAGGAGGGCUUGCCCUCCGGAUCAGUGGCGAACGGGUGAGUAACACGUGGGCAACCUGCCCCUCACUCUGGGAUAACGCCGGGAAACCGGCGCGAAUACCGGAUACGACCAGGCGCGACAGCCCGCCUGGUGGAAAUAAUUUCGGUGAGGGAUGGGCCCGCGGCCUAUCAGCUUGUUGGUGGGGUAACGGCCCACCAAGGCGACGACGGGUAGCCGGCCUGAGAGGGCGACCGGCCACACUGGGACUGAGACACGGCCCAGACUCCUACGGGAGGCAGCAGUGGGGAAUAUUGCGCAAUGGGCGAAAGCCUGACGCAGCGACGCAGCGUGAGGGACGAAGGCCUUCGGGUUGUAAACCUCUUUCAGCGGGGACGAAGCGAAAGUGACGGUACCCGCAGAAGAAGCACCGGCUAACUACGUGCCAGCCGCCGCCGUAA
rnacentral:rRNA from 1 species